CAGUCGCCGCGGUAAUACAGAGGGUGCGAGCGUUAAUCGGAUUUACUGGGCGUAAAGCGUGCGUAGGCGGCUUCUUAAGUCGGAUGUGAAAUCCCUGAGCUUAACUUAGGAAUUGCAUUCGAUACUGGGAUGCUAGAGUAUGGGAGAGGAUGGUAGAAUUCCAGGUGUAGCGGUGAAAUGCGUAGAGAUCGGGAGGAACAUCAGUGGCGAAGGCGGCCAUCUGGGACAACACUGACGCUGAGGCACGAAAGCGUGGGGAGCAAACAGGAUUAGAGACCCCCGUAGUCCCUGUCUCUUAUAC
rnacentral:rRNA from 1 species